CGGGAUGUAGCGCAGCUUGGUAGCGCACUUCGUUCGGGACGAAGGGGCCGCAGGUUCGAAUCCUGUCAUCCCGA
rfam:Synechocystis sp. PCC 6803 DNA, complete genome.